rnacentral:rRNA from 1 species
UACGGAAGGCAGCAGUGGGGAAUAUUGCACAAUGGGCGCAAGCCUGAUGCAGCCAUGCCGCGUGUAUGAAGAAGGCCUUCGGGUUGUAAAGUACUUUCAGUCGUGAGGAAGGUGUUAAGGUUAAUAACCUUAGCAAUUGACGUUAGCGACAGAAGAAGCACCGGCUAACUCCGUGCCAGCAGCCGCGGUAAUACGGAGGGUGCGAGCGUUAAUCGGAAUUACUGGGCGUAAAGGGCACGCAGGCGGUUAAUUAAGUUGGAUGUGAAAUCCCCGGGCUUAACCUGGGAAUGGCAUUCAAGACUGGUUAGCUAGAGUCUUGUAGAGGGGGUAGAAUUCCAUGUGUAGCGGUGAAAUGCGUAGAGAUGUGGAGGAAUACCGGUGGCGAAGGCGGCCCCUGGACAAAGACUGACGCUCAUGUGCGGAAGCGUGGGGAGCAAACAGGGAUUAGAUACC